rnacentral:rRNA from 1 species
UACGUAGGGUGCAAGCGUUGUCCGGAAUUACUGGGCGUAAAGGGCGCGCAGGCGGCUUUUCAAGUCAGGCGUGAAAGCCCCGGGCUUAACCUGGGAACUGCGUCUGGGACUGAAGGGCUAGAGUUCGGGAGAGGAGAGUGGAAUUCCCAGUGUAGAGGUGAAAUUCGUAGAUAUUGGGAAGAACACCGGUGGCGAAGGCGGCUCUCUGGACCGAGACUGACGCUGAGGCGCGAAAGCGUGGGGAGCAAACAGG